rnacentral:rRNA from 1 species
GACGACAUUAGACGAAUCAUCUGGAAAGAUGAAUCAAAGAAGGUAAUAAUCCUGUAGUCGAAAAUGUUGUCUCUCUUGAGUGGAUCCUGAGUACGACGGAGCACGUGAAAUUCCGUCGGAAUCUGGGAGGACCAUCUCCUAAGGCUAAAUACUCUCUAGUGACCGAUAGUGAACCAGUACCGUGAGGGAAAGGUGAAAAGCACCCCGGAAGGGGAGUGAAAUAGAACCUGAAACCGUGUGCUUACAAGUAGUCAGAGCCCGUUAAUGGGUGAUGGCGUGCCUUUUGUAGAAUGAACCGGCGAGUUACGAUUUGAUGCAAGGUUAAGCAGUAAAUGUGGAGCCGUAGCGAAAGCGAGUCUGAAUAGGGCGUUUAGUAUUUGGUCGUAGACCCGAAACCAGGUGAUCUACCCUUGGUCAGGUUGAAGUUCAGGUAACACUGAAUGGAGGACCGAACCGACUUACGUUGAAAAGUGAGCGGAUGAACUGAGGGUAGCGGAGAAAUUCCAAUCGAACCUGGAGAUAGCUGGUUCUCUCCGAAAUAGCUUUAGGGCUAGCCUCAAGUGAUGAUUAUUGGAGGUAGAGCACUGUUUGGACGAGGGGCCCCUCUCGGGUUACCGAAUUCAGACAAACUCCGAAUGCCAAUUAAUUUAACUUGGGAGUCAGAACAUGGGUGAUAAGGUCCGUGUUCGAAAGGGAAACAGCCCAGACCACCAGCUAAGGUCCCAAAAUAUAUGUUAAGUGGAAAAGGAUGUGGCGUUGCCCAGACAACUAGGAUGUUGGCUUAGAAGCAGCCAUCAUUUAAAGAGUGCGUAAUAGCUCACUAGUCGAGUGACACUGCGCCGAAAAUGUACCGGGGCUAAACAUAUUACCGAAGCUGUGGAUUGUCCUUUGGACAAUGGUAGGAGAGCGUUCUAAGGGCGUUGAAGCAUGAUCGUAAGGACAUGUGGAGCGCUUAGAAGUGAGAAUGCCGGUGUGAGUAGCGAAAGACGGGUGAGAAUCCCGUCCACCGAUUGACUAAGGUUUCCAGAGGAAGGCUCGUCCGCUCUGGGUUAGUCGGGUCCUAAGCUGAGGCCGACAGGCGUAGGCGAUGGAUAACAGGUUGAUAUUCCUGUACCACCUAUAAUCGUUUUAAUCGAUGGGGGGACGCAGUAGGAUAGGCGAAGCGUGCGAUUGGAUUGCACGUCUAAGCAGUAAGGCUGAGUAUUAGGCAAAUCCGGUACUCAUUAAGGCUGAGCUGUGAUGGGGAGAAGACAUUGUGUCUUCGAGUCGUUGAUUUCACACUGCCGAGAAAAGCCUCUAGAUAGAAAAUAGGUGCCCGUACCGCAAACCGACACAGGUAGUCAAGAUGAGAAUUCUAAGGUGAGCGAGCGAACUCUCGUUAAGGAACUCGGCAAAAUGACCCCGUAACUUCGGGAGAAGGGGUGCUCUUUAGGGUUAACGCCCAGAAGAGCCGCAGUGAAUAGGCCCAAGCGACUGUUUAUCAAAAACACAGGUCUCUGCUAAACCGUAAGGUGAUGUAUAGGGGCUGACGCCUGCCCGGUGCUGGAAGGUUAAGAGGAGUGGUUAGCUUCUGCGAAGCUACGAAUCGAAGCCCCAGUAAACGGCGGCCGUAACUAUAACGGUCCUAAGGUAGCGAAAUUCCUUGUCGGGUAAGUUCCGACCCGCACGAAAGGCGUAACGAUUUGGGCACUGUCUCAACGAGAGACUCGGUGAAAUCAUAGUACCUGUGAAGAUGCAGGUUACCCGCGACAGGACGGAAAGACCCCGUGGAGCUUUACUGUAGCCUGAUAUUGAAAUUCGGCACAGCUUGUACAGGAUAGGUAGGAGCCUUUGAAACGUGAGCGCUAGCUUACGUGGAGGCGCUGGUGGGAUACUACCCUAGCUGUGUUGGCUUUCUAACCCGCACCACUUAUCGUGGUGGGAGACAGUGUCAGGCGGGCAGUUUGACUGGGGCGGUCGCCUCCUAAAAGGUAACGGAGGCGCUCAAAGGUUCCCUCAGAAUGGUUGGAAAUCAUUCAUAGAGUGUAAAGGCAUAAGGGAGCUUGACUGCGAGACCUACAAGUCGAGCAGGGUCGAAAGACGGACUUAGUGAUCCGGUGGUUCCGCAUGGAAGGGCCAUCGCUCAACGGAUAAAAGCUACCCCGGGGAUAACAGGCUUAUCUCCCCCAAGAGUUCACAUCGACGGGGAGGUUUGGCACCUCGAUGUCGGCUCAUCGCAUCCUGGGGCUGUAGUCGGUCCCAAGGGUUGGGCUGUUCGCCCAUUAAAGCGGUACGCGAGCUGGGUUCAGAACGUCGUGAGACAGUUCGGUCCCUAUCCGUCGUGGGCGUAGGAAAUUUGAGAGGAGCUGUCCUUAGUACGAGAGGACCGGGAUGGACAUACCUCUGGUGUACCAGUUGUCGUGCCAACGGCAUAGCUGGGUAGCUAUGUGUGGACGGGAUAAGUGCUGAAAGCAUCUAAGCAUGAAGCCCCCCUCAAGAUGAGAUUUCCCAACUUCGGUUAUAAGAUCCCUCAAAGAUGAUGAGGUUAAUAGGUUCGAGGUGGAAGCAUGGUGACAUGUGGAGCUGACGAAUACUAAUCGAUCCAAGACUUAAUCAA